UACGUAGGCAGCGAGCGUUGUUCGGAGUUACUGGGCGUAAAGGGUGUGUAGGCGGUUUUCUAAGUUUGGUGUGAAAUCUCCCGGCUCAACCGGGAGGGUGCGCCGAAAACUGGGAGACUAGAGUGCGGGAUGGGAGAGUAGAAUUCCUGGUGUAGCGGUGAAAUGCGUAGAUAUCAGGAGGAAUACCGGUGGGGUAGACGCCUCUCUGGACCGCCACUGACGCUGAGACACGAAAGCGUGGGUAGCAAACAGG
rnacentral:rRNA from 1 species